UACGUAGGGUGCGAGCGUUAAUCGGAAUUACUGGGCGUAAAGCGUGCGUAGGCGGUUCGUUAAGUCAGCUGUGAAAGCCCCGGGCUCAACCUGGGAACUGCGGUUGAAACUGGCGAACUAGAAUCUGGCAGAGGGGGGUGGAAUUCCACGUGUAGCAGUGAAAUGCGUAGAUAUUGGGAGGAACACCAAUGGCGAAGGCAGCUCGCUGGAACGGUACUGACGCUGAGGCGCGAAAGCGUGGGGAGCGAACAGG
rnacentral:rRNA from 1 species